rnacentral:misc_RNA from 1 species
GAAUGCGAUAAGUAGUGUGAAUUGCAGAAUUCAGUGAAUCAUCGAAUCUUUGAACGCACAUUGCGCCCCUUGGUAUUCCAUGGGGCAUGCCUGUUCGAGCGUCAUUUGUACCCUCAAGCUCUGCUUGGUGUUGGGUGUUUGUCCCCGUCUCCGCGCGUGGACUCGCCCCAAAGUGAUUGGCAGCCGGCGUACUGGUCCCGGCGCGCAGCACAUGUCGCGCAAACGAGUGCCUUGGUACGGCGGCGUCCAUAAGCCCCUCUCUCACGCUCUUGACCUCGGAUCAGGUAGGGAUACCCGCUGAACUUAAGC